rnacentral:rRNA from 1 species
AUUGAACGCUGGCGGCAGGCCUAACACAUGCAGGUCGAGCGGAUGAAGAGAGCUUGCUCUCUGAUUUAGCGGCGGACGGGUGAGUAAUGCCUAGGAAUCUGCCUGGUAGUGGGGGAUAACGUUCCGAAAGGAACGCUAAUACCGCAUACGUCCUACGGGAGAAAGCAGGGGACCUUCGGGCCUUGCGCUAUCAGAUGAGCCUAGGUCGGAUUAGCUAGUUGGUGAGGUAAUGGCUCACCAAGGCUACGAUCCGUAACUGGUCUGAGAGGAUGAUCAGUCACACUGGAACUGAGACACGGUCCAGACUCCUACGGGAGGCAGCAGUGGGGAAUAUUGGACAAUGGGCGAAAGCCUGAUCCAGCCAUGCCGCGUGUGUGAAGAAGGUCUUCGGAUUGUAAAGCACUUUAAGUUGGGAGGAAGGGCAGUAAGUUAAUACCUUGCUGUUUUGACGUUACCGACAGAAUAAGCACCGGCUAACUCCGUGCCAGCAGCCGCCGUAAUAC